GGGGGGGGGGGGGGGGGGGGGGGGGGGGGGGGGGUCGGGGGGGGGGGCGCGGGCUUGCUUGGGUACGCGAGUGGCGGACGGGUGGGUAACACGUGGGUGAUCUGCCCUGCACUUCGGGAUAAGCCUGGGAAACUGGGUCUAAUACCGGAUCGGACGAUGGUCGUGAUGCCAUUGUGGAAAUUUCUUUCGGUGUGGGAUGAGGUCGCGGCCUAUCGGCUUGUUGGUGGGGUAAUGGUCUCCCAAGGCGUCGCCGGGUAGCCGGCAUGAGAGGAUGUAGGGCAGAAUUGGGACGGAGAGACGGCCCAGAAGCGUACGGGAGGCAGAAGGGGGGAAUAUUGCACAAUGGGCGCAAGCCUGAUGCAGCGACGCCGGGUGGGGGAUGACGGACUUCGGGUGGUAAACUCCUUUCGCUAGGGACGAAGCGUUUUUGUGACGGUACCUGGAGAAGAAGCACCGGCUAACUACGUG
rnacentral:rRNA from 1 species